rnacentral:rRNA from 2 species
GGGUUGUGAGGUUAAGCGACUAAGCGUACACGGUGGAUGCCCUGGCAGUCAGAGGCGAUGAAGGGCGUGCUAAUCUGCGAUAAGCGCCGGUAAGGUGAUAUGAACCGUUAUAACCGGCGAUACCCGAAUGGGGAAACCCAGUGUGACUCGUCACACUAUCAUUAACUGAAUCCAUAGGUUAAUGAGGCGAACCGGGGGAACUGAAACAUCUAAGUACCCCGAGGAAAAGAAAUCAACCGAGAUUCCCCCAGUAGCGGCGAGCGAACGGGGAGGAGCCCAGAGCCUGAAUCAGCAUGUGUGUUAGUGGAAGCGUCUGGAAAGGCGCGCGAUACAGGGUGACAGCCCCGUACACAAAAGCGCAUGUGUUGUGAGCUCGAUGAGUAGGGCGGGACACGUGGUAUCCUGUCUGAAUAUGGGGGGACCAUCCUCCAAGGCUAAAUACUCCUGACUGACCGAUAGUGAACCAGUACCGUGAGGGAAAGGCGAAAAGAACCCCGGCGAGGGGAGUGAAAAAGAACCUGAAACCGUGUACGUACAAGCAGUGGGAGCACAGGUUUACCUGUGUGACUGCGUACCUUUUGUAUAAUGGGUCAGCGACUUAUAUUCUGUAGCAAGGUUAACCGAAUAGGGGAGCCGGAGGGAAACCGAGUCUUAAUUGGGCGUUAAGUUGCAGGGUAUAGACCCGAAACCCGGUGAUCUAGCCAUGGGCAGGUUGAAGGUUGGGUAACACUAACUGGAGGACCGAACCGACUAAUGUUGAAAAAUUAGCGGAUGACCUGUGGCUGGGGGUGAAAGGCCAAUCAAACCGGGAGAUAGCUGGUUCUCCCCGAAAGCUAUUUAGGUAGCGCCUCGUGAAUUCAUCUCCGGGGGUAGAGCACUGUUUCGGCUAGGGGGCCAUCCCGGCUUACCAACCCGAUGCAAACUGCGAAUACCGGAGAAUGUUAUCACGGGAGACACACGGCGGGUGCUAACGUCCGUCGUGAAGAGGGAAACAACCCAGACCGCCAGCUAAGGUCCCAAAGUCAUGGUUAAGUGGGAAACGAUGUGGGAAGGCCCAGACAGCCAGGAUGUUGGCUUAGAAGCAGCCAUCAUUUAAAGAAAGCGUAAUAGCUCACUGGUCGAGUCGGCCUGCGCGGAAGAUGUAACGGGGCUAAACCAUGCACCGAAGCUGCGGCAGCGA